rnacentral:rRNA from 1 species
UACGAAGGGGCUAGCGUUGCUCGGAAUUACUGGGCGUAAAGGGCGCGUAGGCGGUUCUAUAAGUCAGGGCGUCGAAAUUCCUGGGCUUAACCUGGGGGCUGCGCUUGAGACGUGUGGGACUUGAGGUCAGAAGAGGGUCGAUGGAAUUCCCAGUGUAGAAGGUGAAAUUCGUAGAUAUUGGGGAAGAACGACCGGUGGCGAAGGGCGGCGACCUGGUCUGAUACGUGGACGCUGAGGCGCGACAGCGUGGGGAGCAAACAGG